GACGAACGCUGGCGGCGUGCUUAACACAUGCAAGUCGAACGGAAAGGCCCUGCUUUUGUGGGGUGCUCGAGUGGCGAACGGGUGAGUAACACGUGAGUAACCUGCCCUUGACUUUGGGAUAACUUCAGGAAACUGGGGCUAAUACCGGAUAGGAGCUCCUGCUGCAUGGUGGGGGUUGGAAAGUUUCGGCAGUUGGGGAUGGACUCGCGGCUUAUCAGCUUGUUGGUGGGGUAGUGGCUUACCAAGGCUUUGACGGGUAGCCGGCCUGAGAGGGUGACAGGCCACAUUGGGACUGAGAUGAGGCCCAGACUCCUACGGGAGGCAGCAGUGGGGAAUAUUGCAUAAUGGGCGGAAGCCUGAUGCAGCAACGCCGCGUGCGGGAUGACGGCCUUCGGGUUGUAAACCGCUUUCGCCUGUGACGAAGCGUGAGUGACGGUAAUGGGUAAAGAAGCACCGGCUAACUACGUG
rnacentral:rRNA from 1 species